CCUCCCACUGACUUCAUCAAGUUAGAUCAAAGAAGACUAGAUGCAAGUUGGUCCAACAGACUAGUCACAAAUCCUCCCAUUGACUUUAUCAAGUCACGAAGAAGACUAUUGAUAAGUCGAACUAGGGGCAUCUAAGUCAGUCAUACUGAUUUUCUAGCUAGCAUGGAUCAACCUUAAUUAUUAAGUAAUCUAAUCAAAAUAUGAUUCACCACGUUAGUCAGGUAAGUG
rnacentral:lncRNA from 1 species